UGGGGAAUAUUGGGCAAUGGGCGAAAGCCUGACCCAGCAACGCCGCGUGAAGGAUGAAGUAUUUCGGUAUGUAAACUUCGUAAGAAUAGGAAGAAUAAAUGACGGUACUAUUUGUAAGGUCCGGCUAACUACGUGCCAGCAGCCGCGGUAAUACGUAGGGACCAAGCGUUGUUCGGAUUUACUGGGCGUAAAGGGCGCGUAGGCGGUGUGUCAAGUCAGUUGUGAAAUCUCCGAGCUUAACUCGGAACGGUCAACUGAUACUGUCACACUAGAGUACAGAAGGGGCAAUCGGAAUUCUUGGUGUAGCGGUGAAAUGCGUAGAUAUCAAGAGGAACACCUGAGGCGAAGGCGGGUUGCUGGGCUGAUACUGACGCUGAGGCGCGAAAGCUAGGGUAGCAAACGGGAUUAGAUACCCAGGUAGUCCCUGAGCGGGCUGGCAAGGCGCAU
rnacentral:rRNA from 1 species